UCUCACAGGGUAUUUUGUUAUUAUUAAAAGAAAACAGAUACGUUUUCAGAAUGGUCUGUUAAAGAUUUGACUACGCAAUUUGGGUUUGACAAUUUAAAUUGUUACAACUUUAUGUGUCCCCAGAUUCACCAUUUUCAGGCUCCAGCUACUAUUUCAAUAAAUAAAACAUCAGUCCCUUAGGACAAAUGACAAGGAAAUCCUCAUAUAACCUUAAACAGAAGUAGAAGGGAACGGGGAAGUGCUUAAACCUAACAGAGGAAGAAGUCUUUUCGGAAUACAAGCCCAAAUAAAUAUUUGAACAGGAAUGGUAUCUUCAUGCGUGUGGUGAAAAAUAGUCCUUUUCAGGCUGUACAGUUUGGCAGGCUGGCAUGUUGACUUUAUCACCUCGGGAUCUCUGGGGUUUCAGACACCUACCCGCAGGCGUCAUCACGAGCAUGCGCACACCCCUGCCCAGGGGCCUGAGGCUGCAGGCUGGGGCCUGUGAGCCGCUCCCAGGAACAUCCCCGGGGCCCAGCCCUCCAGUGCCAGGGCGAAGUUCUUUAUCCCGCCUUCGACACCACCAACGCCAUCGAAUGCCAUUUUAGUUGCGUCUACUUCAUAUCCCUGGAAUUCAGAACUCUGGUAUAAUAGGUAGAAGUGACAACCUUUCUAUCCCGGGAUGAGUUGUGCUUCUCUCAUUUCACUUUUAUGAUAAAACUCCACACAUUUGGAUUGAGAGGGAAGGCAAGAAGCAGUUAAAAUUUUUGAGAGUUUGGAUGGCAGACUAUACUAAAAGGAAGCAUAGAGCCUGGUUGACCUUGGGAGAGUUGGCAAGGCCUGGGUCUUCAAAGUCAAAUGAUUGUCAAAAAGUGAAUAUGAUGUACCAGUACCUAGUUUAUUACUUAGAGUAGAGGCUGGAAUACAUAACUGAUUUUAAAAUAAGAAGAGUGGUUAAAAAAAAAAAAUAAGACUCUUAAACACAGAAAACAAACUGAUGGUUGCCAGAGGGGAGAUUGGUGAGGAGAUGGAUGAAACAGAUAAAGGAGACUAAGUUACAAACUUUCAGUUAUAAAAUAAAUACGUCACAGGAUGAAAUGUACAGCGCAGAGAAUACGGUCAAUAAUAUUGUAAUAACAUUGGUGACAGAUGGUGGCUACACUUAUUGGGUGAGCACUGUGUAAUAUAUGGAAUUGUUGUAUCAGUAUGUUGUACACCUGAAACCAAUACAACACUGUGUGUUAAUUACACUUCAACAAAAAUAAAAAUUAAAAAAAAAAGAAAAGAAGAGUGGUUUAAUUUUCACAAAGUAUUCACCCAGAUUUGCAAAGCUAAGCUCUAAUGAACCUUUUCUUGACUUCAUGGACAAAUUCUGAAAUAGUUUCCAAAGGGUGAUAGAAAUAAUCAGAUAAUGUCCAUAAAGUGCUGAGCACAGGGUCAGGCACACAUGAAGCGGUAAAUAAAUAAAAGCAGUUAUAAUACUGUUACGAAAAGCCUCCAGAUAUCAUUCAAAUCAGCGCGCGAGAGAAGUAGAAGACCAUGCCAACCAUUGCUCAUGUAGCUCUCUGCUGUGCUCCAGUGUGUAAUACACAAUGUAGUCUGGAACUUCUUGGGUCACUAUGGAAAGAUUUCCCUUCUUUAUACGAUUCCAGCACAGCACUUCUCAAAGGGCAUUGGCUUGCCUUGUUCUGGCACCAACUGUAUGCCAGCAAGAAUAGUGGAAGUUUAACUGACAGAAGGGUAAAGUUCAGGGGGCAUGUUAUCAUUCGUGUCCUUAAAAAGUCAACAUCAGUCUCAGCUGACAGCUUCCCUCCAAGCUUAAGUAUACAGUCUGGGUUUUCCAGGAUAUUGUCAUGAGUUCACAGCUUACUUCAUUUCCCUGACCCUAUCCUUGACCAACCUGCUAUGUUAGAACUAUGGCUUCCAGUGGUUGCUCAACACUUGGCAGAUGGGCUGAACUUUGAAAUGGUGUUUUACAUGAGGGCAGCCCUUGCUCUGGCUGGCUCUGUAUGCAGAAGCUUCAGUGGGGAGGCAAAUUAUUUGAACAUGUAUAUGUGUGUGUAUAGAGGAGCGGAGGCAGGACUAUGGCUGCCCAGCCUGAAACUAGCCCAUAUCCCAGACUUCCAUUAACUUUUCCAAAAGUGGACUCGAAUUCAGUGACCAACAACCUCAAGCUGACCUUUAAGACAUGACAACAAUAUCAAAGCUCUAGUUCCCACCAGAACCUGAAUCACCGCCAGAGGCAUUUGGCCUGCAAAGUACCCAUCCAUUCCACUUUUGGAGCCAUUUUGAUUUCAGGAGACCAGUAUGCCAAGGUCUGAGGGAGGCAGAUGGCUCCAACAGUCUUUUUUUUUUUUUUUUUUUUUUCUUUUCCUCAGAGAAUAACAGCAUGAGAGCCAUCUUUUAUCACUGUACCUUCUGGUUUUAUGUCUUCAUGGGUAGUGUAAGGCAGUAGUAGGUGAAUGUGUGGAAUGGGGUGGGAAUAGGGAGUAGGGGAAAACAGAGAUUAGAUAGGGAGAAAAUGGGCUUAAAUGGAGAGUACAGAUUUCAUGAGCCUAUACCAGGGUAAGUGGGGAAAUGAGGCUAACCUAGAAAACUGAAAUUCCUAGUCAUGCCUGAGGCCAGUUUGAGGGCAAGUUGUUGGGUGGGGGGUGGUGACUCUCCCAUCCUUUUCCCUAAUCCUAAAUCCUUUUCUUCCCACCUGACUCCCUUCACUUCCACUAUUCUCUAUAUAUACAUAUUUUUGUGGUCUUUUAAAAAACUAAAAAGAUAUGCACCAGUCCGUUAAUACUAACUAAUGUUGGAGGCAAGAGGGAUGAUAUUCACUUUAUUUUUUUUGUUCUUUUUUUUUUUUUUUUGAUAAUCACUUUAAAAACGAUAUAUUUUUGGAUUAUAGUACUUGUUGCUUUACACAUUUAAUAUUUUUAAAAUUAAAAAAUAAAAACGUUGAUAAACACAUUUUCCUUCCUCUACUGCUCCCCUUCCCCAAAUCUUCUAGUUCAAAAGUGAGUCUUCCUUCCAUUCCAGCCCAAUCAAAAUUUCUUUUUGUUUUAUUUUAUUUUGUUUUUAUUUUUGGAGAGAGAGAGAGACAGGCUCAAACUCACAAACUGUGAGAUCAUGACCUGAGCCUAAAUUGGGUGCUCAACUGACUGAGCCACCCAGGGCCCCUCCCCUCAAUCAAAAUUUCUAUUUCCCCAAUGUUAGGUAGCUAGGCAGUGAUCAAACUGUUUGGUUAAAGUAAUUCCACUAAUGUGUGUUCAAGAAGUGCUGUUGGGCGCUAUUGACAUUGAUGAUCAGGCAAUAAGUGGGUGAGGGUAUCAGAAGAGUGGUCGACCUGGGUGAUAAUCCCAUCACCACCUCAAGCUUCGUCUAAGACUUUGAGCAUAUCAUUUCAAAUGCCCAUAUCUUCGGCCUAUUUUUUUUUUUUUUUUAAUCUUACAUGCAGAACUAAGAAAGUAAUACUACCAUUCUUGUACUCUGAAAGUUUUGAAGAGACAUUUUGGGCUUAGUCUGUGAGUUUUCACUGCAUUGUCUCCUAGGUCCGGUGGCAGUGGUGGUGGUGGUGAUGAGGUGCAGGGAGAUGGAAAGAAGAAAAUACCAUUUCUCUUUACAAAGGAGAAAAGAUAUGCCCCCAUUGACCUAGAUGUCAUGAGUCUUUUUUUCUCAAAGAGAAAUGCAGGUUCCAGAAGCACCUUGUAGUUGGGAACCACUAAAACUUAAAACACAAACUACUUUGCUUUGUACUCUUUAUAGACGGAUAUGACCUAAAAAUGGUUCCGUACUGUCAUUGCACUUUCCAUAGAACACCAUGAGGAAGAACUGGCUUCCUCAAGGACAUGUUUUCCUUUGCCACACUGAGUACUUACCUUGUGCUUAGAUUGUUCUUAUACUGGGCUCUGUGGACAAAACAGAAUUUCUUAACAUGAGAAAUGCUCAGUUAAAUGUGCAUUUAAGAAGUGAAAUGAGAAUGAAAUUUCAGUCGCAAGCAAAGCCUAUAGUAUUUUUAAAAACAAGGAAUCAAAUGAGGGAAAUGAAAUCAUAACCUUUACCUGAACCAGUUCAUCCUCUUUUUUUUUUUUUUAACUUUAUUUCUCUAGUAGGAAAAUAAUUCAUCUGGCCUGAGUGUGUUCCUUACCACAUAGCCGGCACGGUUGUCUCAUGCCAGCACCAAGACCAUAUGAAGCUAAAUCAACAGACCCUGAUUUGUUGGCUCAACCAAGUAUAAAGUAGCCACUGGAAAAUCGAGUUGAAAACAUAGGACAAAUAUAUGAAAGAGACAAGCCACAGCUUGCAGGAGAGAAGAUGUUUGCAGAAAACUCCAGCAUUACAGGUUUAUCUAAGGUGUGGUCUCAGCUUUACAAAUGUACAGGACUUCAUUUUUUGAUGCAGCAUAGUUGAAGAUCUUACACCACUGGGGGCUUUGUGGUUUAAGGAUGAUGUGGUUAAAGAAGCACAAAGAAGGUUAAAAAUUGCAUUCUGGUAAAGGCCAGUCCCUUUACAACUAGGAUCUCAGUUUCCUCAUCCUAUACAAGGCAUGACAUCACAUGGUCUCUGCAGGCCCUUUUUAGCUCUGACCCUUCAUUUUUCUAUUUUGUCGAAAGUGUGGCAUCAAGAAGCAGUUCUCCAAUCAAUCCACAAGACACAUCUGAAUUAUUGAUUAAUUAUAGCAUCUGAAUUUAGAAAAGCCA